rnacentral:rRNA from 1 species
UGAGGAAUAUUGGUCAAUGGCCGUAAGGCUGAAACCAGCCAAGUAGCGUGAGGGAAGACUGCCCUAUGGGUUGUAAACCUCUUUUAUGCGGGGAUAAAGGUGUCCACGUGUGGAUGUUUGCAGGUACCGCAUGAAUAAGGACCGGCUAAUUCCGUGCC